GUGAAUCAUCAAAUUUUUGAACGCAAAUUGCACUCUCCUCCAUGAGUAUGCCUGUUUGAGGGUCAGCCUAUAAAAAAUCGACAUCGUUGCUGUUUCGUGGUGGCGUUAGUCGGAAAUUGGGUCAUCUUAAAUCUCUUGGUUUUAAGCGCUUUACAAUUUUCUUUUUGGUUCCAUGAACGUAUCUAA
rnacentral:misc_RNA from 1 species